UUCUUGACUGUUUUCUAGAAGCGUGUUGAGCGGAGGACCUCAGGUGCAUCUGGCCUUAGAUCAUCCUUGGAGGUAGGACCGUUUCUACAAGGCCAUUUGAACCUGCAAGAUACAUUGAAACAGUUUCAUCAUGUAAAAGUUCUUGGAUCGUGUCAGGAAGUGGUUGCCUAAAGGUCUCCGGCAGAAAUGCACAGAGAAGAGAAACAACCAAUGACAGAGAGGCCACCACGAUCCAGGGCAGGAACUCAUAGAACACAGCUGAAGAAGACAGACAUCUCAGUUUAGAGGCGAUACAGAUGAGCCCAGCCGGGCGAACAUGGCACAGGAUGACAUGGCAGUGUUUCUGAUGACUGUAGGAAACAGCUCACCAGUGUACACGUAUAUCACACCAAUUGCAGCCAAAAUGCCAAAUUUACCCAGCAGCGCCAGCACCAGGGUCAGAGUGGUGGAACCUGCAUAUUGCAUGUACAGAAUAGAGAAAGAGAGCAAGUGCGCUCACAAGGGUGCAGCCAAUAUACGAGAGACGACGGGGAAAAUAACCAGCCGUCAACCAGCUGACUGUAUAUCCUGGAAAGUCUACAGCUGAUGACAGGAUGUAGGUGAUAAAAGGACUCCCAUCAAGACUGGACAGGUUAAAAGAUAUCCCAAAGAAGCUGAGGCUCGUGGACAGCCUGCAAUUGAAACAAGAAGUGGUGAAAAGAAAUGAGUGUUUGCCAACGAUGGCACGGUGACGAUAAAUCCUCUGUUUUUCUUCCCCUCAGCUAAUGCUGCAUCAACAGUGACAAAAAUACAUGACUGUUUACGGCACAUUCAGAGUAACAAUAUAACCCAUGGGCCUUAUUCUACAGCUGCUGCAGGAGGAGACAAAAUAAGAUGGAAAGUACUUAAACUCACCAUAUGACCCACAGAAUGAAAGCUAUGGGUCGGAUCUUCUUGAUCCUCAUUAGGACAAGAUUGUGAUGUGGGUUUGUUACAAACCAUAGACGAGUGGAAGAUGACAGCUGGGGGUUCCACCCGGUUCUGCAGAGCGGCUGACCUCAGCAGCCGCUCUGCUUCCUCUAAACGGCCACAAGAAACCAGCCAGCGAGGAGACUCUUGUAUUAACCUGAGGCAGGCAGGCCAGACCGGGCACGGCAAUGAGCAGCGUCAGGUGUCUCCAGUUCCUGACCAGAUAUGCAGUACAUGGCAGCAUUACAACUGCGGUGUUGUAGACAAACGGCAAACACAGGCUGCAGAAGAGAACUCUGGU